rnacentral:lncRNA from 10 species
GCCGCAGACGGCGAAAACCAGAGGUGGUUACAGUCAAGUUUAGGGACUGCAGGAGCGAAUUCCCGAAGGCUUGCAGGAGCCGCCCGGCUCUGCCUCCAGCCUUUCUCUCUGGGCCUAGCGGGACUCUCCCAGGCAGGCCCCUCCCUGCCCGCGGGCGCACUUUCCCCGCCUGCAUCUGAGGCGUGGCGCAGCUGGGAGCAAAGCACAGGUGGGCUGGGCGCGGUUUGGGGUUCGGGCGUGGCAGAGUGGCGGCGGGGUCUGGGGAAGAGUUGUCUUGGGGGCAGCGCCAGCCACCAGAGCCCGAGUCAGCGCGGCCAGGACUCUGCAGGGGCAGGUAGCGACCCUUAGAGACGCAACGUGGCGCAGCGGACUCGGCUGCGUGGGGCAAGGGCCGGGGCCGGACACAGGAGCAGCGGGGAUGCCGGGUGCGCUCCGAGGGUGUGGCCCCCGGGCUGUGCGGGGCUCAGAGCUGCUUGCUGGGCGCGGUGCCCGACAAAGCUCCAUUUCUGGCCUUUGGUCUCUUUCUCGGAAAGCAGGCCUCAGUGGCCUCAGUUUCUUCCCAGAACCUGCAAUGCCCCACCAAGGUGACAAGAAGUGCAAGGAGUCGGUUUUCACUGCCAACCAAAGAGGUGACCCCCGCAAAGCAACCAUGUUGGGACAGUCCAUUUGCUGCGUUUUGAUUAUUUGCUAAGAGCAAAUACCUUUUCUGUUUGGGUUUUGCUUUUAGAAAAAAAAUGUGGCAGAUGGUGGUGGCUUUCCCCGUCAUUGAAAGAAGAAAGGUAGUAACUCUACUGGUGCACUCCUCUGAGUUGUGCUAACAAAGAAGAAUGCUGAAAGAAAAGGGAAAUGAACACCAUUUUCAGGCAGCUUCUCCAAGUUUUUUUGACAGUGUUAUAAUUUUCCUUUAGCGACUGUUGAAGCAAAUAUCUGUAUUUAUGUUCAGAUUAAACCGAGAGAGCAAAGACUGCUAAAGCCAGUAAUUUCUGGGCUGCAAAUGCAGGAUAGCUCCAGUGAAUUUCAGAUUCUUAAAGGUUUUUGCUGUAGCGAAUUCAUGACACAAAGCAUUUGGAGGGAAACCUAUUAGAGAAGAAACACAUCCUAAAUGAGAAUUACUGAGGACGGGAGGCUCUUGUCAUUUAUUGGAUUAGUUAUAGCACUUUACACAAGCCUGUAAUAUUUGUUCUGCUGCUGUGGUGUGACUGGUAAAAUGAAAAGGUAUGUCAAGGGAGUGCUUGACUGACGUUCUUAUUUCUUCCGUCUUCUUAUAUUGCUGGGAGGAUUCUACCACUGCAGGGCUAGAAAUUAAUAUCACACUCAUUUGAUAGGAAGAGCAAAAGCAAGGUUAUGAGUCAGAGACAUUUUGGUCCCAGAACAAUAACUCUAUUGAUUGAGUCAAAUAUGUUUAACUCCAACAGCAAGACCUUCCAUCUGCGUGAAAUAAUCAUGUCCGUUAAUUGUAAACAGGAGCAUCUUUGAAAGCUGAGCUAGAGGCGGAGCAACUGGUAAACCAGAUGUCCCAAAUUUCUAGCGCUUAGAGGAAGCAUCUGGGAUUGAGCCAUCUCACAUCUGUCUAAUCACAUUCAUUCAAAUGUGAUGGGCCCAACUGGCCUACGUACAUGGCUGCAUAUCACCAUGGGUGGAAAUUAAAUCAGAAUUUGGCUCAGGAGAGAGAUGAAGAGAAAAUGCACGUAGAUAAUUGGCUCAGAUAACAUUCUGUUUCUGGAAGUCACAAAGAGUGGAAAUUGGAAUAUGUAAAUUAAAGAAAAACAGUCCUUAAGAUCAAGUCCGCAAUGGAAGAAGAGCAUUCAUCUGGUACAGGUUGAUGAUUGUGUAAGCCCAAGGAGUGAUGUCAACACUGGGGUUCACCUGAGAACAUGGACAUGGUUGAUGAGGGUUUAGGAGAUGCUCAUACGAAGUCUUCAUAUGUUCCCUGGAUCCCAGCUCUGCCUUCCCACCAGAGAGGAUGUAAUUCAGCCGAGAUGCCCAGAGUCAGCUCUCUGCUCAUAUCUGUUCCGCACUGAAGCCAAUCAUCUGAGAAACCUAAGAAGUGUUUAAUGUAGUUAGGAAAGUGAGGGAUGAAGACCAUAAAUUCCUUUUCAUGUAGCAGAGUAUAUAUGUGAUACUCAUUCUGUGGUAUUUGGGGCAUAAACAAGAGUCGAUGAAGGAAUGUGAAAGUACUCGAAAUCCUGACUUUUAUCUCUAUAAAAAUGGCAUAGGGAUGAAACACACUUGGUUGUUAUGACUGUACUCUUUUCAGAUUUACUACUUGCCUUUCUACUGAUUUUUCUGUGCCACAGGUCUUGACUCCUGUAGGCUAAAUUUCUCAGCCUCUUCUGCUCACUGAUAUAUGGGAAGGUUUGGCCAAAGGUGGGUGACUGGUGGGGAGAAGGAUGAGGGAAUUCAGGGGAUUGCUGAGCCCAUUCUCUAGACAGUGCUGCUGGCACUGGCUCUGUCUUCUCCGUUUCCAUCUCGCAUCAGACGGUUCUUCCCUCUAUGGGCCUAGUCCUACCUAGACACUUUCCAGUUGGAUUCCAGUUCUGGGGAUGCUCCCUCCUGCAGGGAUCUAAGUCCUUCCCAUUGUCUUCGGCUCCUGGGCUCAGCUAGAACCAUCUUUUCCCAUUGUCCCUGUGGUGCUAGGGCUUUCAGUGGUUAUUAACGUCUGUGUUGUAUCAUCUUGCCUGAAUUUCAGCUCUCUGUAACCAGUUCCCCAAAUAAAAUUCCCCCCAUUUACCUACCUUCUGUGAGUCUGUUUGCCUGACAUGACCGUAUUAAGUAUACCCGAUAUAUUAGUGAGCUUCGGAUGAUAUCACAAUGUGCCGUAGACUGGGUGGCAUAAAAAACAAAGGAAUGUAUUUCUCAUUGUUCUGGAGCUGGGAAGUCCAAGAUAAAGGUGCUAGCCAAUUCUAUUUCUGAUGAGGGCUCUCUUCCUGGCUUGUGGAUGGCCACCUUGUCACUCUAU